rnacentral:lncRNA from 1 species
AGUUCAGACACGGCACUUUGGAGAGGAAUAAUUAUUUCAACUCUUCAAGAUUCUAAGGCCACAGACCAUUGAAACAUAAAGAAGACUAUAUAUGGAAUCUAGGAAGAGGAAAGGAAUUUGGGACAACUAUUUAAGACUGCAAGAGAAGAGCCACAGCUUGAGCCAAGGAUUUUUUGGAAGUUUAUCCACAAGACCUCAGGAGCUAGAUUCCAAUCUUUCUGAUUCAAAGAAUCCCCAAACUCAAUGAGGACACGUUUUCCUCCCGAGAACAGCAGAAUGGUAACAAAGAACACAUGAAAAGAAAAUGCUUUCAAGGACCAAAGGAAUUCAUCUACAAAUAUGGAAUUUCCAGCAUGGAAGUCAGUGACAAAGCCCUGGCAUACCCCCAUCGCAGGUGUCGUGAGAACACCGUCCAGUGGGACGAGGCCAGCCCUGCCCUGAGAAGCUGAGAUUCCCACCCCACCUGGAGGGAGCUGAGCACCCUCACAGCAACUCUGAGCCCCUGACUCCAAAGGAGACUCUUCUCCUGUGGUAUCAGACGUAGAGGGCGGGCUCCCUUAAAGUAAAAUUCCACAACAGGGCAGUAGAAAGAUGCAAUGAAACAUAUACGAGUUAUUAAAUAUUGUCAUCAAGAUGAGUAAUAAAUCAGACAUUUUAUGGUUUCUGAUUAUAAAUUCCAUUUAUUCCAUAAGUGUUUAAAGAAAGAAAAAUGGAGACCCAACAGAGAUUUAAGCCUGCCCGAGAUGGGUAUAUUUCAUGAUUGCUUUGUGACUGCUGCAUCCUGGGUGGAAUAGGGGUGGGGGAGAUACAAAAGGGCCCUCUCAGGGCCAGGAAGAAUGAAUUGCUGGGUUUCUGCGGCUCUGUGAGUGCAUUCAUUGUCAUGUGAGACUCUUCCUAAGAAUUCUUUUGAAGUCAGGAAUUCUGGCCAGGUUCCUGGUGGACACACUCUUGAAGAUAGCCUACUCCUUCAAAUCCCAAAACCAACUUAAACAAGAGGCCAGGCGAGAAAAGCCAACGUGGGGAGACUCCAUAGGUCCUGGCAGGUGGCACUGAACAAUGCAGAUCCUUAACAGGAGGGAGGAGAUGAACUGUCCCAAAGAGUGGCUGCUGCAGAUCAGGGAGCUGGGCACAAUCCCAGCACAGCAAGUGUUCAUUCAGUAAAAAGUAUGCCUUGGGGCCUGGCGCAGUGCCUCACGCCUGCAAUCCCAGCACUUUGGGAGGCCGAGGUGGGUGGAUCACUUGAGGCAGGGAGUUCAAGACCAGCCUGGACAGCAUGGAGAAACCCCAUCUCUACUAAAAACACAAAAAUUACUUGGAUACGGUGGCUCAUGCCUGUAAUCCCAGUUACUUGGGAGGCUGUGGCACAAGAAUUGCUUGAACACAGGAGGCAGAGGUUGCAGUGAGCCAAGAUGGCACCACUGCUCUCCAGCCUGGGUGACAGAGUGAGACUCUGUCUCAAAAAAAAAAAAAAAAGUUAUGCUUUGUGUUCAUAAAACUAUGCCUUCUCCUCAUAUAGUACUUUACAGUUUACAGGUGUUAUUUCAUUACAUUUUGCACUACGGUUCUAGCAUAGCCAUUGUUAUUUUUAUUCACAGACAGAAAAAAAUGAGGUUGUCUCACUCAUAUAACCUGGCCUCUCUCAGCUCUGGUUGCUGUGGAGAGUAGCAUAAGUGAUAUCUCUUCAAUGGUGGUUCUACUGCACAAAGAGAAAACAAAACGUUGUCUUCUGGCCUUCCAAUGGCAGAAUUUGACCUGCUUUUGGCUUUGAAAUGCCUCAUAUGAUAUUCUUCUAGCAGAUUUGUCUAAUUAUAUUUUGCUUGGGCUAAGAUUAAAAUUAAUUGGUCUUUUCAUGAUCACACAUCAGGAGAGUAAUAGGACCAGGCACCUGAGACCAAGCCAGGGAUUAAAGAUUGGUUAUGGAUAAUCCACUAGCCAGAGAGUCUGAAUGUGGUGGGAGAUGAGUGGAGGAGACCCAGUGGGCCUCCGGCAGCUUGUUUAUCACUGGCAUCUUCAUCACAAGCUUUAUGUGACAGGAUUUCUCCUGAUGUGCCCACAGCUGCUGCCUCACUGCACGCACACAAGUGUGUGUACACAGGCACCCACACAGCUGGAGAAGCACACAUAUGCCUCCUUCUGCAACAUGCACACUGUUGAUUAGCCUCUGCGGAGUGCUGACUCUUGGAGAAAGACCAGAUAAAUCGCUUUGGAGAGGGAGAAAAGGAAAAAAAUAUGAUAAAGAAAAAAAAAUCUACUUUAUCCCCCUUCAAAUGCCACAAGAAAAUGUCACGGAAAUCGCUUUGCUGGAAAUAACAGAGAAGUUCAAAACAAAAUUGUUGAGUGUCACUCCUGGGCCCGACUCUCCCUUGCACUGGGCCCCUCCUCAGCCUGGGAGGCUCCUCGCUGCCUCUGCCACCACUCACCCUUCAGGAUGCCACUGCUGCAGCCUCCAGGAACUGAAAAACAGUUCUUGGAAAGCCUUCCACUAAAGGGAGUAAUCGAG